rnacentral:misc_RNA from 1 species
AUUUUGACAAUAUUUACAUCUUGGUCAAAAUCAAAUGAGACUGAUUUGCUUAGAAAUAACACUGUUAGAAAUUGGAGCCUCUUCUCGCCUUAUUUAUACCCUAUCUUAUUCACAAACGACACGGGUCUAAAAAGAGAUGUCAGGGCAAUGGGAUGGGAUUGUCUUCCAAUUAUACACGCAGGAAAAGGAGUACCAGUCCUUAAACACAUGUAUUUAGCUGCUAUGGAAAAAAUUGAGUCUCCCUUGUAUGCCUUUGUGAAUGGAGAUAUCUUGUUUACCCAGUCUUUGCUGGAGACUCUUGUCUCAGUUCUUCAGUCACAUCUCUACCAAAACGGGACAGUGUUGGUUGUUGGAAGAAGAACGAACGUAUUAAACGUGAAGCGAAAGACGGCAAGUAGUUUUCAAGAUCUUGCGAAUGUAUCUGUUAAAAAUGGCAGUUUAUUUACUUCUUGGGGGCUAGACUAUUUCAUCACAUCUAAGACGUUUCCAUGGCGAGAUAUGCCAGAUGUUGUCAUUGGUCGAGUUGGCUAUGACAAUUUUUUGGUUGUUGAAUCGAACAAGAGAAAGAUCGCCGUCAUUGACGCAACGAAGACGUUGUUGGCGGUGCACCAGACCACAAAGAAAGGCGGGAAUUUCGAAAGUCGUAAAAAGUUAAACAGAGACUAUAAUAUCAACUUGAUAGCCAAGAUUUAUAAAAAGGUAAACUAUGCUAUGGGAACGUCGAGUGCUGCAAAAUAUUUCACUAAAUACAAUUCUAAAUCGCAAGUGUGCAUUGUAAAGAGGUGAAAUCCCAUGAGAUACUAUCGCCAUCAAAGCCUCCGUCCGUUAGUCAAUUGAACCAGGUGUGUUUUUUCUCUGAUUAGUAAACUUUCAUUUGCCUGUUUAAUUUGAUCUGCUUUUGAGAAUUGUGAAAUCAUAUUUAACUUUCAUGUGGUAUUUAACUUUGUGUUCUGAUAUUAAGAAAAAGCUUGUAUUUUUCUCGAAAAAUAAAUCAUAAUCACUAACAUGGAGUGU